rnacentral:rRNA from 1 species
UACGUAGGAGGCGAGCGUUGUCCGGAGUUACUGGGCGUAAAGCGCACGCAGGCGGUCUCUUUAGUCUGUAGGGACAGGGCACAGCUCAACUGUGUCAGGCUUACGGAAACUGGGAGACUUGAGGGCUUCAGAGGGAUGGGGAAUUCCGGGUGGAGUGGUGAAAUGCGUAGAGAUCCGGAAGAACACCAAAGGCGAAGGCACCAUCCUGGGGAGUCACUGACGCUCGGGUGCGAAAGCCAGGGGAGCGAACGGG